rnacentral:rRNA from 1 species
CCUACGGGAGACAGCAGUGAGGAAUAUUGGUCAAUGGUCGCGAGUCUGAACCAGCCAAGCCGCGUGAAGGAAGAAGGCUCUGUGAAUUGUAAACUGCUUUUGUAAGGGGAUAAACACAGAUACGCGUAUCUGUCUGAGAGUAUCGGAAGAAUAAGCAUCGGCUAACUCCGUGCCAGCAGCCGCGGUAAUACGGAGGAUUCAAGCGUUAUCCGGAUUUAUUGGGUUUAAAGGGUGCGUAGGCGGUCGGAUAAGUUAGAGGUUAAAUCCCGGGGCUCAACUUCGGAAUUGCCUCUGAAACUGUUCAGCUAGAGAGUAGUUGCGGUAUGCGGAAUGUAUGGUGUAGCGGUGAAAUGCUUAGAGAUCAUGCAGAACACCGAUUGCGAAGGCAGCUUACCAAGCUACUUCUGACGUUGAGGCACGAAAGCGUGGGUAUCGAACAGGAUUAGAUACCCUUGUAGUC